CACGUAGGGCGCAAGCGUUGUCCGGAAUUAUUUGGGCGUAAAGAGCUACGUAGGCGGUCUGUUGCCGUCCGCUGUGAAAACUCGGGGCUUAACCCCGACGCCUGCAGUGGAUACGGGCAGACGUAGAGGUAGGUAGGGGAGGAAUGGAAUUCCCGGUGUAGCGGUGAAAUGCGCAGAUAUCGGGAGGAACACCCGUGGCGAAGGCGGCUACUCGUGGGACGGUACUGACGCUGAGACGCGAAAGCGUGGGGAGCGAACGAGG
rnacentral:rRNA from 1 species